rnacentral:rRNA from 1 species
GACGAACCGUGCGAACGUUGUUCGGAAUCACUGGGCUUAAAGGGCGCGUAGGCGGGCGGUCAAGUCAAAGGUGAAAGCCCACGGCUCAACCGUGGAAGUGCCUCUGAUACUGGCCAUCUGGAGGGAGGUAGGGGCGUGCGGAACUUCCGGUGGAGCGGUGAAAUGCGUAGAUAUCGGAAGGAACACCGGUGGCGAAAGCGGCGCGCUGGACCUCUACUGACGCUGAGGCGCGAAAGCCAGGGGAGCAAACGGG